AUUGAACGCUGGCGGCAGGCCUAACACAUGCAAGUCGAACGAGUGGCGGACGGGUGAGUAAUGUCUGGGAAACUGCCUGAUGGAGGGGGAUAACUACUGGAAACGGUAGCUAAUACCGCAUACUGUGCGAUGGACCUGCGUUGUAUUAGUUAGUUGGUGAGGUAAAGGCUCACCAAGGCGACGAUACAUAGCCGACCUGGGAGGGUGAUAGGCCACACUGGGACUGAGACACGGUCCAGAGUCCUACGGGAGGCAGCAGUGGGGAAUAUUGCACAAUGGGCGCAGGCCUGAUGCAGCCAUGCCGCGUGUAUGAAGAAGGCAUGCGAGUUGUAAAGUACUUUCAGCGGGGAGGCAUUACCCGCAGAAGAAGCACCGGCUAACUCCGUGCCAGCAGCCGCGGUAAUAC
rnacentral:rRNA from 1 species